AUCUUAGCGCCCUGGGAGGCUGAGGCAGAAGGAUCGCAAAUUUGAGCCCAGCUUGGGCAAGUAGGCGAGACCUUGUCUAAAAGUAUAAAAGAACUGAGAAUGUACUGGAAGCUCAAUGUGAAGACCUUGGUUUCAAUUCCUAGUACUGCCAAAAAUAAAAUAAAAUAUUGAAAUUCCGAGGUCUACAGCGCCUGACGGCACAUUCCGGGUUGCCUGGGGUUAGGAAACUGACCUUGACCAAUGAGGAGCGUGAGGGAUCUUACUGAGGUCCAUAGAGACUUCCUGGGGUGAUGACCUUGAGCAGAGACCAAGAGGAAAUACAGAAGAGAGCUACAAUAUCUGGGGACAAGAGAAGGGGCAGCAAGUGCAAAGGCCCUGAGGCAGGAAGAACUGGGACCCUUUGAAAGACAACAAAGAGACCGAUGUGGGUAGAACCAUGUGAAUAAAGAAAAGGAGAACAAAGGACACAUCAUGUGGGAAUGUGCCCUGGAAAUUCAAGGACAGCCUAAACUGUACAGUGAGACUCUGUCUCAAAGAAAGAAAGCUGUGAAGACACCAAGCCCAUCUUCCUGAAUGGAUGAAAUAAACAGCAACUGGUGGCAAUUACGGACGCAAGACACGGAACAAUUUUGCUUACUUGAGUGACGGACCCUCCAACAGCAGCCACACACGUGUGCCUGGUCAUUGUGCAAGUCAUUAACACAUGCCCUUGUGGUGGUGUUGGGUUUUGUUUUGUUUUGUUGAUGGCAUUAGAGAUGGAAGCCAGGGCCUCACACAUGCUGGACAAGUACUGAGCCACACCG